rnacentral:rRNA from 1 species
UACGUAGGUGGCAAGCGUUGUCCGGAUUUAUUGGGUUUAAAGGGUGCGUAGGUGGUCUAUUAAGUCAGUGCUGAAAUAUCCCGGCUUAACCGGGAGGGUGGCAUUGAUACUGAUAGACUUGAGUAAAGUUGAGGUGGGCGGAAUUGACGGUGUAGCGGUGAAAUGCUUAGAUAUCGUCAAGAACACCUAUUGCGAAGGCAGCUGACUACGCGAGUAUUGACACUGAGGCACGAAAGCGUGGGGAUCAAACAGG